AUUGAACGCUGGCGGCAGGCCUAACACAUGCAAGUCGAACGAGUGGCGGACGGGUGAGUAAUGUCUGGGAAACUGCCUGAUGGAGGGGGAUAACUACUGGAAACGGUCGCUAAUACCGCAUACCAUCGGAUGUACCCAGAUGGGAUUAGCUAGUAGGGGGGGUAAAGGCUCACCUAGGCGACGAUCCCUAGCUGGUCUGAGAGGAUGACCAGACACAGGGGAACUGGGACACGGCCCAGACUCCUAGGGGAGGCAGAAGGGGGGAAUAUUGCACAAUGGGCGCAAGCCUGAUGCAGCCAUGCCGCGUGUAUGAAGAAGGCCUUCGGGUUGUAAAGUACUUUCAGCGGGGAGGCGUUACCCGAAGAAGAAGCACCGGCUAACUCCGUGCCAGCAGCCGCGGUAAUAC
rnacentral:rRNA from 1 species